rnacentral:rRNA from 1 species
CCUACGGGUGGCAGCAGUGGGGAAUAUUGCACAAUGGGGGAAACCCUGAUGCAGCGACGCCGCGUGAGCGAUGAAGUAUUUCGGUAUGUAAAGCUCUAUCAGCAGGGAAGAAAAUGACGGUACCUGACUAAGAAGCCCCGGCUAACUACGUGCCAGCAGCCGCGGUAAUACGUAGGGGGCAAGCGUUAUCCGGAUUUACUGGGUGUAAAGGGAGCGUAGACGGUCCUGCAAGCCAGAUGUGAAAGCCCGGGGCUCAACCCCGGGACUGCAUUUGGAACUGUAUGGCUAGAGUGGAGGAGGGGCAGGCGGAAUUCCUGGUGUAGCGGGGAAAUGCGGAGAUAGAAGGAGGAACAGCAGUGGCGAAGGCGGCCUGCUGGACGGCAACUGACGUUGAGGCCCGAAAGCGUGGGGAGCAAACAGGAUUAGAUACCCGUGUAGUC